AGAGCGAACGCUGGCGGCAGGCCUAACACAUGCAAGUCGAGCGCCCGUAGCAAUACGGGAGCGGCAGACGGGAUAGUAACACGUGGGAACGCGCCCUUCGGUUCGGAAUAACUCAGGGAAACUUGAGCUAAUACCGGAUACGCCCUUACGGGGAAAGAUUUAUUGCCGAAGGAACGGCCCGCGUCCGAUUAGCUAGUUGGUGAGGUAAUGGCUCACCAAGGCGACGAUCGGUAGCUGGUCUGAGAGGAUGACCAGCAUCACUGGGACUGAGACACGGCCCAAACUCCUACGGGAGGCAGCAGUGGGGAAUAUUGGACAAUGGGCGCAAGCCUGAUCCAGCCAUGCCGCGUGAGUGAUGAAGGCCCUAGGGUUGUAAAGCUCUUUGUGCGGGAAGAUAAUGACGGUACCGCAAGAAUAAGCCCGGCUAACUUCGUGCCAGCAGCCGC
rnacentral:rRNA from 1 species